AUGUUCCCUCACUAUCCAGAAAAACCCACUGAUCCAUCAACCUGUAACCUCCAACCUCCUAACCAUCAUCUUCAUCAUCCACUCUUCAUCCGUCACCUCCAUCGCAUACCUCAUCAAACUCCAUCCAACCGCCACCGCCUCCAUUUUCCCCCAACCGGUACGUGUCUCUUUUUUUUUGCAACUUUGUAUUUGACCUGCUUGGAAUUGUGUUUGUUUUAUGAUUCAUUGGAUUGA